rnacentral:rRNA from 1 species
AUGCAGGCGGCGAAGGAGAAGGUGAAGGACGGCGUGAGCGCGGUGAAGGCCAAGACCAAGAUCACGCAGGCCAAGGCGUCGGAGAAGGCGGAGGCGGCCACGGCGAGGUCGCACGCGGAGCGGGAGCUGGCGCACGAGCGCGGCAAGGCCAAGGUGGCCGCCGCCAAGAUGGAGCUGCACCAGGACAAGGCGCUCCACCGCGAGGAGGCCAUGGAGCACCGCAUCCACAAGCACGGCGGCGGCCACGGCCGCCACCAACACAAGCACGGCGUCGGCAUCGUGGCCGCGCCCCCGCCGGCGACCGGGGCCGGGGCCGGGGCGUACCACCCUCCUCCUGCCGCCGGUGGCCACUACUACUAA